GACGGAGGGUGCAAGCGUUGCUCGGAAUCACUGGGCGUAAAGGGUGCGUAGGCGGCCGCGCAAGUCUGGCGUGAAAGCCCCGGGCUCAGCCCGGGAAGGGCGCUCGAAACGGGGCGGCUCGAGUGCCGGAGGGGAGAGUGGAAUUCCUGGUGUAGCGGUGAAAUGCGUAGAUAUCAGGAGGAAUACCGGUGGCGAAAGCGACUCUCUGGACGGCAACUGACGCUGAGGCACGAAAGCGUGGGGAGCAAACAGG
rnacentral:rRNA from 1 species